AUGCGUUGUUGGGUAGGGGAGCGUUCUGUAAGCCUGCGAAGGUGUGCUGUGAGGCAUGCUGGAGGUAUCAGAAGUGCGAAUGCUGACAUAAGUAACGAUAAAGCGGGUGAAAAGCCCGCUCGCCGGAAGACCAAGGGUUCCUGUCCAGCGUUAAUCGGGGCAGGGUGAGUCGACCCCUAAGGCGAGGCCGAAAGGCGUAGUCGAUGGGAAACAGGUUAAUAUUCCUGUACUUGGUGUUACUGCGAAGGGGGGACGGAGAAGGCUAUGUUGGCCGGGCGACGGUUGUCCCGGUUUAAGCGUGUAGGCUGGUUUUCCAGGCAAAUCCGGAAAAUCAAGGCUGAGGCGUGAUGACGAGGCACUACGGUGCUGAAGCAACAAAUGCCCUGCUUCCAGGAAAAGCCUCUAAGCAUCAGGUAACAUCAAAUCGUACCCCAAACCGACACAGGUGGUCAGGUAGAGAAUACCAAGGCGCUUGAGAGAACUCGGGUGAAGGAACUAGGCAAAAUGGUGCCGUAACUUCGGGAGAAGGCACGCUGAUAUGUAGGUGAAGUCCCUCGCGGAUGGAGCUGAAAUCAGUCGAAGAUACCAGCUGGCUGCAACUGUUUAUUAAAAACACAGCACUGUGCAAACACGAAAGUGGACGUAUACGGUGUGACGCCUGCCCGGUGCCGGAAGGUUAAUUGAUGGGGUUAGCCGCAAGGCGAAGCUCUUGAUCGAAGCCCCGGUAAACGGCGGCCGUAACUAUAACGGUCCUAAGGUAGCGAAAUUCCUUGUCGGGUAAGUUCCGACCUGCACGAAUGGCGUAAUGAUGGCCAGGCUGUCUCCACCCGAGACUCAGUGAAAUUGAACUCGCUGUGAAGAUGCAGUGUACCCGCGGCAAGACGGAAAGACCCCGUGAACCUUUACUAUAGCUUGACACUGAACAUUGAGCCUUGAUGUGUAGGAUAGGUGGGAGGCUUAGAAGUGUGGACGCCAGUCUGCAUGGAGCCGACCUUGAAAUACCACCCUUUAAUGUUUGAUGUUCUAACGUUGACCCGUAAUCCGGGUUGCGGACAGUGUCUGGUGGGUAGUUUGACUGGGGCGGUCUCCUCCUAAAGAGUAACGGAGGAGCACGAAGGUUGGCUAAUCCUGGUCGGACAUCAGGAGGUUAGUGCAAUGGCAUAAGCCAGCUUGACUGCGAGCGUGACGGCGCGAGCAGGUGCGAAAGCAGGUCAUAGUGAUCCGGUGGUUCUGAAUGGAAGGGCCAUCGCUCAACGGAUAAAAGGUACUCCGGGGAUAACAGGCUGAUACCGCCCAAGAGUUCAUAUCGACGGCGGUGUUUGGCACCUCGAUGUCGGCUCAUCACAUCCUGGGGCUGAAGUAGGUCCCAAGGGUAUGGCUGUUCGCCAUUUAAAGUGGUACGCGAGCUGGGUUUAGAACGUCGUGAGACAGUUCGGUCCCUAUCUGCCGUGGGCGCUGGAGAACUGAGGGGGGCUGCUCCUAGUACGAGAGGACCGGAGUGGACGCAUCACUGGUGUUCGGGUUGUCAUGCCAAUGGCACUGCCCGGUAGCUAAAUGCGGAAGAGAUAAGUGCUGAAAGCAUCUAAGCACGAAACUUGCCCCGAGAUGAGUUCUCCCUGACUCCUUGAGAGUCCUGAAGGAACGUUGAAGACGACGACGUUGAUAGGCCGGGUGUGUAAGCGCAGCGAUGCGUUGAGCUAACCGGUACUAAUGAACCGUGAGGCUUAACCU
rnacentral:rRNA from 1 species